GUCUACGGCCAUGCCACCCUGAACAAGCAGAUCACAUCUGAUCUUGGAAGCUAAGCAGGGCUGGGCCUGGUUAGUACUUGGAUGGGAGACCACCUAGGAAGACCAGGUGCCCUAGACG
rnacentral:rRNA from 1 species